rnacentral:rRNA from 2 species
ACGAAAGCGUGGGGAGCAAACAGGAUUAGAUACCCUGGUAGUCCACGCCGUAAACGAUGAUCAUUAGUUGGUGGCAAAAGUCACUAACACAGCUAACGCGUUAAAUGAUCCGCCUGAGUAGUAUGCUCGCAAGAGUGAAACUUAAAGGAAUUGACGGGAACCCGCACAAGCGGUGGAGCAUGUGGUUUAAUUUGAAGAUACGCGUAGAACCUUACCCACUCUUGACAUUCUCGCAAAACUAUAGAGAUAUAGCCGAGGCUAACGAGAUCACAGAUGGUGCAUGGUUGUCGUCAGCUCGUGUCGUGAGAUGUUAGGUUAAGUCCUGCAACGAGCGCAACCCUUUUCUUUAGUUGCUAACAUUUAGUUGAGAACCCUAAAGAUACUGCCGGCGCAAGCCGGAGGAAGGUGGGGACGACGUCAAAUCAUCAUGCCUCUUACGAGUGGGGCAACACACGUGCUACAAUGGCUACUACAAAGAGCAGCAAAACAGUGAUGUCAAGCUAAUCUCAAAAAAGUAGUCUCAGUUCGGAUUGAAGUCUGCAACUCGACUUCAUGAAGUCGGAAUCGCUAGUAAUCGCAGGUCAGCUAUACUGCGGUGAAUACGUUCUCGGGUUUUGUACACACCGCCCGUCACACCAUGGGAGUUGGUAAUGCCCAAAGUCGGUGAGUUAACUUCGGAGACCAUUGCCUAAGGCAGGACCGAUGACUGGGGUGAAGUCGUAACAAGGUAUCCCUACGAGAACGUGGG